rnacentral:rRNA from 1 species
ACUCCUACGGGAGGCAGCAGUGGGGAAUAUUGCACAAUGGGCGCAAGCCUGAUGCAGCCAUGCCGCGUGUAUGAAGAAGGCCUUCGGGUUGUAAAGUACUUUCAGCGGGGAGGAAGGUGUUGUGGUUAAUAACCACAGCAAUUGACGUACCCGCAGAAGAAG